rnacentral:rRNA from 1 species
AGAGUUUGAUCCUGGCUCAGGACGAACGCUGGCGGCGUGCCUAAUACAUGCAAGUAGAACGCUGAAAUAAGAGCUUGCUCUUAUGGAUGAGUUGCGAACGGGUGAGUAACACGUGGGGAACCUACCUUCUAGCGGGGGAUAACACAUAGAAAUGUGUGCUAAUACCGCAUAAUAGUAUUUGAUGCAUAUCAGAUACUUGAAAGGCGCAAUUGCGUCACUAGAAGAUGGCCCCGCGGUGCAUUAGCUAGUUGGUGAGGUAACGGCUCACCAAGGCAAUGAUGCAUAGCCGACCUGAGAGGGUGAUCGGCCACACUGGGACUGAGACACGGCCCAGACUCCUACGGGAGGCAGCAGUAGGGAAUCUUCGGCAAUGGACGCAAGUCUGACCGAGCAACGCCGCGUGAGUGAAGAAGGUUUUCGGAUCGUAAAACUCUGUUGUAAGAGAAGAACGUUGAUGAGAGUGGAAAGUUCAUCAAGUGACGGUAUCUUACCAGAAAGCCACGGCUAACUACGUGCCAGCAGCCGCGGUAAUACGUAGGUGGCAAGCGUUGUCCGGAUUUAUUGGGCGUAAAGCGAGCGCAGGCGGUUGAUUAAGUCUGAUGUGAAAGCCCCCGGCUCAACCGGGGAGGGUCAUUGGAAACUGGUCAACUUGAGUGCAGAAGAGGAGAGUGGAAUUCCAUGUGUAGCGGUGAAAUGCGUAGAUAUAUGGAGGAACACCAGUGGCGAAGGCGGCUCUCUGGUCUGUAACUGACGCUGAGGCUCGAAAGCGUGGGGAGCGAACAGGAUUAGAUACCCUGGUAGUCCACGCCGUAAACGAUGAGUGCUAAGUGUUGGAGGGUUUCCGCCCUUCAGUGCUGCAGCUAACGCAUUAAGCACUCCGCUGGGAGUACGACGCAGUGAACUCAAAGGAUGACGG